UAAAAUGAGAAAAGAAACAGGAAAAAAAAUAAAUUAGUACCGGUUGGGAAUACCAACCGGUACUAAUUUGGACGUGGCCAUGCGCGACGUGUCAAGCAAAUUAGUACCGAUUGGUCUCCCCAACCGGUACUAAAAGUUCUUCUUUAGUACCUAGGUACUAAAUAGCAAUACCGGUUGCGUACUAAAGGAGGAUUACCUAUCGGUAGGUUUUACCUAGCAGUGAUAUUAA
rnacentral:lncRNA from 1 species